UACGAAGGGGGCUAGCGUUGCUCGGAAUCACUGGGCGUAAAGGGUGCGUAGGCGGGUCUUUAAGUCAGGGGUGAAAUCCUGGAGCUCAACUCCAGAACUGCCUUUGAAACUAGAGGACUUGGGUACGGGAGAGGUGAGUGGAAUUCCGAGUGUAGAGGUGAAAUUCGUAGAUAUUCGGAAGAACACCAGUGGCGAAGGCGGCUACCUGGACAGGUACUGACGCUGAAGCGCGAAAGCUAGGGGAGCAAACAGG
rnacentral:rRNA from 1 species